CCGUGUUUCAAUCACGAUACUUCUACAAAUCUCCACGCUCAUCCCUUCCAAAUCCUCCAUCAGCGGCGCAUCUCAGCUUUGGUUCAGUCGCACCGAAGCUCCGACACACCCCUUCCAAUGGAUCUUCUCCGUCACGCUCUCUUCCGUUCCUCCUCCUCCUCCGCCGCCGCCUCUGCUGCCAUUGUUCGAUCGUUCCUCUGAGUUUUCGUCUUCUUCCGCCGCUGCCGCCACCGCUUGCGUCGCAUGAUCUCUCUCCAUCAUCCCUUGCUUUGCACAAGCCCCCUCCUUGCUGUUGCUUAGGGUUCAAUUUUUCUGUGUGAAUUUUAGGUUUAUCAAUUUUUCCUCGCAGUUUCUAUCUUCUUGUUGUUGUUGAUGCUGAUUGAGCUUCUUGUUCCUGUUGCAGUUUCUAUCACAUGCUGGUAUCUCGAAACAGAUGGUAAUUUUGCCUUUUCCAUUCUCUUUCUUCUGUUUAAAUUUUUCUAAUUUCUAGCUUAGGGAUUCGAUCACCUGUUCUGAGCUUGUUCCACGAUUCUACUCUAUUUGUGAUUUUUUUUUUGUGUAGAUAAAUGCAUUGCUUUCAAUCAUUCAUCUUAGUAUUUUUCAUUCUUAUACAAUGUGCGAAAUACUUGGAUUUCAAUUUUAUAUAUAUAGCUUGAAGAGGCUUUCUGAAACUUUUUCAGUUUCACCAUUGUAACGCUGGUUUAAUCUAUUUCCUCUCAUAUUGUAUGCAUGUCUGUUUAUUCUGUUUGGUUAAUUGUUUUUGGAACCCUAGAAUUGCACAUUCUUAAUUAAUCAGUGUUCUAGCAAUACAGUGAAAUUCGUUGAACUCUUAUAGAUAUAGAAUGGAAUUGAACUUCUAGAUUAUAGCUUCUCUUAAUCACUUAUUGCAGCAGAUAGAUUUAUCUAUGCAGAAAUUGUAGUAUUAGGAUUAUUUAUUGCAGUAUUAUUCUCUCUUAUGUGAUUUGGAAGUUGUAGAAGUAGUUAGGUGAUAUGUUAAGAUAGAAUGUUGAAAGGUUCCUUUUUUUUUUCUCCUUCUGUUUUAUGACCUUUUUAGCUUAAAUAUUAAUGGAAAAUAAAAUUUUGUCUAUGACCUACUUGGCUGAGGAGUGAGGAGCAGAUACUCCGGGAUGAUAUCAAGUUUGGUGGAAAAGCCCAAACAGCUUUUCAUGAAAGAUAUCAGGAUGCUGCUCUAGUAUAAUGUCACUGCCACGUUAAGGUUGACAAGCUUGGAAGGGAAUCCCUUAUUAACUGUGCCAAGACCAGCAUGUCGUCAAAGUUGAUAUAUGGUGACAGUGACUUCUUUGCCAACUUGGUUGUAGAGGCAGUGCAAGCUGUAAAGAUGACCAAUGCUAGGGGGGAAGUUAAAUACCCAAUCAAGGGAAUCAAUAUAUUGAAGGCUCAUGGAAAAGGUGCUAGAGACAGCUUUCUGAUGAAUGGUUAUGCUCUAAAUACUGGCCGUGCAGCUCAAGGAAUGCCUCUUAGGGUUGCCCCUGCAAAAAUUGCCUGUCUUGAUUUUAAUCUUUAGAAGACUAAAAUGCAAUUGGGUGUUCAAGUAUUAGUUACUGAUCCCAGAGAGCUUGAGAAAAUUCGUCAAAGAGAGGCUGAUAUGACUAAGGAACGCAUUGAAAAACUAUUGAAAGCUGGAGCCAAUGUUGUUCUGACUACUAAAGGAAUUGAUGACAUGGCACUCAAGGCAAAUCAAUGCGUCUGUUGCUAGGAGGAACUUGGGGGUGCAUGUCUUAUUUGAAUAAUAUUUUCUUCUACUUCAAUUCUUACUGUUUUCUUUUUUAUUUAUUUAAUUGAUUCAUUUAUGUUGUUUUCUCUUCAGACACUGCAUUUUCAUGUUCAUAUAAUUGUUGUGAAUUAAAGCCUCUUCUCUUCCUCAACUCAAUGACAGUUCUUGAUUGCUUAAUUGAUCAAAGACUUGUAUAAAGUAUCCAGUCACUGAAUUGAAUCUGAAUCACUUGCUUUUAGACUUGUUCUGGUUUAUUGCAUUGUGUGCAUUACAUGUUCCAAAUCUGCAAUUGCUAUUUGGCAGCGUCCAUGAUCUUUAAAAAGAACUAACCCUGAGAAAUCUAUGGAAGAGUUCCGAGCAGCUAGUCAAAAACUUGGUGAUGGCGUGGGUGUAAAGUCUUUAAUGCAAAGCACGGGACUUGGAAUGAUUGCUGACCAGGAAGGAGUUGGAGCUCUUUGGACUGGGAUUGGCCCCAAUAUAGCAAGAAAUGCUAUCAUCAAUGCUGCUGAACUAGCCAGCUAUGAUCAUGUGAAACAGAUUAACAAUCAGCACAAUGUUGAUGAGUGGUUAUCACUCCUCCACUCCUCCAAAAAUUAUUGUGGCAUGCAGAAAAAAUCCAGAGGUCUUAGCAGAACAAGCCACCAGGAGAAAGAGAAAACAUUAAUGGAUCUUAGAAGAAUUGAACAACUUUAACUCGGUUUGACCCUAAUUUUAGACUAUGGAUCUUAGAAGAAUUGAACAACUUUAACUCGGUUUGGCCCUAAUUUUAGACUAGGUUUAUGUUUAUAUUUAGGCAAUUCUGUUAGUGGUUAGCUACAAGAGCAGAUUGUUUUAUACACCUUUAGUGUAUGUCACAGUAUAGAUUUUAAAGGUUUUCUUUUUUUCAAUGGUAUUUGUUUUGAAUUAUAGUUGAUGUAUCAAUACACUUUGUUGAUGUAUGGUUGUUACUUAUUGUUUUAGUUGAUGUAUCAAUAUACUUUGUGUUUUGAAUUA